rnacentral:rRNA from 1 species
AAUCAACGCUGGCGGCGUGCCUAACACAUGCAAGUCGAACGCGAAAGGGGACGUUCGGUCCUGAGUAGAGUGGCGUCCGGGUGAGUAACGCGUGGGUAAGUACUACCCUUGGGUGGGGAAGUAACCAGUCGAAGAAUUGGCUAAUACCGCAUAAUGCAGCGGCUCGACAUCGAGACAGUUGUUAAAGCAGCAAUGCGCCAGAGGAGGAGCCUGCGUCUGAUUAGCGUUUGGCGGG